CAGAGGUUAAACUCUAUUUAUCAACUUAAAGCCUUCAGCUGUUCUCCAAUUUAGAAAGAGGUGUUUGUAUGAGAGGGCAAAGUCUGAAGUUAUUGUUGGGUUGUUUUAGGCAAGCUUUCACAUUGAUUCUGGUGCAACAUAAGGUUAAGGCAGUGAAUUUUCUGAGACCUGAUACUGAGACACGGAAAGCUGUCUCUCCUGUUUCCCUCAUCUACACAAGCUGUGACUUAAAGAGCAGAAAAAGCAGUGAGCCUGGGAUGAGCUGCCUCUGUCUAGUACUGGAGCACUUGGGAUCAAAGUUUCUCUUACACAGCCUGAUGCCUGAGCCUGUUCAACAAAGCGUGAGGAUGGUUUCUGGCUCAUCUGUUCAUUCAAGCUUUUAAUUAGUUACCAGCUAUCCUCAUGGUGAGGAGUUGACGCCUGAUGUUAUUGAGGUACUUAUUCAAGCGUUCAUGUUUAUGCAAACGCAUUCUUUUUAUAUCGGAUUUUGGGCAGUCAUAAGCCGUGGUAAGGAAUUAAAUGACAUGUAAAGAAGAAAUGUGACCCAUUGAUCAAAGAUGCGCUGGCCCACCAGUGAACAGUCUAUCCGGGCUGUGAAAUGGCUGGUCCCCAGAGAGGCCCAUUCAAAAAAGAACUGAUGCUUGCGUUUUCCAGCAUCUAUAUGCAGAAUCCCAAGUGGUUAUACAACACACACACAUGACGUGAGCUGCAAACACACAUUGCUGCAGUCCUUAUGCUGGUCCUGUUUUUGAGUUAGUGUCAAAGCUUUCCUGGAUGGGUAUGUGCACUGCUUGACUACUUGCAAAGAACUGGGCCAUUAGCCCAUAGACAGGGGAGCGUAUGUCAUGCUACACAGAAAAACAGGUCCUUAGCAAAACCACGGGACACAGAAGCACUCAGCAGCUUCUUACCUGCUCCCCACUGCAGUGAUUCUGCAGCUGCCAUUGCUGCACAUCCAUAUAAGAGGACAGGGCAAGACCAAAUAAACACAAAUAAGCUCAAACCA
rnacentral:lncRNA from 1 species